ACAGGCAAAUUUAAUUCAUGCCGAUAUUGAAAGUGCUAUCAAUGACUACAAAAGUGGAAAACAGAAAAAGAGACCUGACACCUUAAGGAUGAUUUUGAAAACUGACUCUGCUAUCCCUCCACCCCCUUCAUCUCCAGCACCAGUUCCACCUGCUACAAUCACCCAAGUAGAUGUAAAGAGUCGAGUGGCAGCUUGGUCAGCAUGGGCCUCUUCUGAUCACUAUGAAGGUGAUAAGCAAAAAUAUGCUUCUGAACAUGAUGAGACGCCUGAGGUUAUGAUAGCCAGGGUUGACCGAGAUGUGG